GACAAUAUGAGAGUGAUCUUUCCAUCUAACCCCUACUUCCCCCACCACCGACGCGCGCAUGCGCAAUGCUGCGGGAGCACACCCUCAAUCCGCCGGUGCUAUUUUCUUGGGUUUUGAAGACGAAAAUUUCGUGCAACACACAGCGAAAAAAUCGACUUAAAAAAAAACCUUUUUCAUCAUUAAAUCUACACUCAUUAAUCUAUUCAUCCAUUCAUUCCUUUAGCUCAUUCAUUCUUCACAUUAAUUCAUCAUUUAAUCAUUUUAUUUUACAGCUCUUCAUAAAAAAAUAUCGUGUUUAAAAAGUGUUCCAGUGAAGACUUGUGUCAUUAUUUGUUUAAAUUAAUUUUGUGGCUUAGCAAAAGUGUUUCAGGGAUCCAGUGACAUCGAUAAUUUUCUCUUUUUCAUUGUGAACAUUUAGAAGAAGUGGGCACAAUGGGGAAGAGAAAAGCAGAGAGGACUCCGAAGAAGACGCGCCGGGCCUGGACUGGUGACACAGUGGAUAAGAGAGGGUGUUCUUUUCAUGGCCAAACUCAGGCGAUGAUUUACUACCUUCAUGGAUACUUCGUAAAGGAGAAAAUCAAUAAUGGACCUUUGAUUGCCGUAUCCCGAGUGAGAAUUUCAGAACCAUCUGGGUGACAGACAACGGAGAAUCUACACCUGAGCAUUUGGAAGAGUAAAAACAAUACACAUAUUAAACAAAUGGUUGA